rnacentral:rRNA from 1 species
UACAGAGGUCCCGAGCGUUGUUCGGAUUCACUGGGCGUAAAGGGUGCGCAGGUGGCAUUGUAAGUUUGAUGUGAAAUCUCCGGGCUUAACCCGGAAAAGGCAUUGAAUACUGCGGUGCUGGAGGUUUGGAGGGGGGACUGGAAUUCUCGGUGUAGCAGUGAAAUGCGUAGAUAUCAAGUGGAACACCAGUGGCGAAGGCGGCCUUCUGGACAGUGACUGACGCUGAGACGCGAAAGCGUGGGGAGCAAACAGG